rnacentral:rRNA from 1 species
UACGAAGGGGGCUAGCGUUGCUCGGAAUUACUGGGCGUAAAGGGCGCGUAGGCGGUUUGGUCAGUCAGGCGUGAAAUUCCCGGGCUCAACCUGGGGACUGCGCUUGAUACGGCCAGACUUGAGGGUAGGAGAGGGUCGCGGAAUUCCCAGUGUAGAGGUGAAAUUCGUAGAUAUUGGGAAGAACACCGGUGGCGAAGGCGGCGACCUGGCCUAUUUCUGACGCUGAGGCGCGACAGCGUGGGGAGCAAACAGG